CGAACGGCUCCGUAUAACUGUUGUUACCUAUCGUGGGAAAUUUUUUUGGAUAUUGCACGGAAAAACUGUGUGUAACACAGCAAAUUUGUGGUUCAGCCGCGGUGCUUUCCCGGCUUUAAACGGAGGCCGGGCCCAUGAAGGACCGGCUUCCGAGUCACCACUACUUCCGGCUCGCUCUUAUAAGGCCGCCCAAUGUACGCGUAUACGCGCGCGUACCGGGUUGCGCUCAACCACACGAUGGGCUUCAGACCUAUCAGCUAGAUGGUAGGGUAUUGGCCUACCAUGGCUUUGACGGGUACAGAGGAUUAGGGUUUGAUCCUGGAGAGGUAGCCUGAGAAAUCGCUCCCACUUCUAAGGAAGGCAGCAGGCGCGUAACGUUCCCAAUGCUCUCGCACGAGUGAGGACGUAAAGGGAUAUAACAAUGCCCCUAGCGGGCAAUUGACAAUGGGGCGGCCAUAAAAAAGCCGUCGAGAAACGACUGGAGGACAAGUCUG
rnacentral:rRNA from 1 species